CGUGGAGUAGAGCAGCCCGGUAGCUCGCCAGCCUCAUAAGCUGGAUACCGUGAGUUCAAAUCUCACCUCCGCAACCA
rnacentral:tRNA from 1 species